UUAUGGCUCAGGACGAACGCUGGCGGCGUGCUUCAUACAUGCAAGUCGAACGAGAAAUCUACUUCGGUAGAUGGAAAGUGGCGGACGGGUGAGUAAUAUGUAGAGAAUCUGCCCUAGAGAGGGGGACAACCGUUGGAAACGACAGCUAAUACCCCAUAUGAGCGUACCUGAAAUGGUAUUCUUGAAAACUCCGGUGCUCUGGGAUGAGUCUGCAUCUGAUUAGCUAGUUGGGGGUGUAAUGGACCACCAAGGCGACGAUCAGUAGCUGGUUUGAGAGGAUGAUCAGCCACAAUGGGACUGAGACACGGCCCAUACUCCUACGGGAGGCAGCAGUAGGGAAUUUUGCGCAAUGGGCGAAAGCCUGACGCCAGCAACGCCGCGUGAUCGAGACGCUUUUCGGAGUGUAAAGAUCUGUCACAGGGGACGAACGAUGACGGUACCCUGAGAGGAAGCACCGGCUAACUCCGUGCCAGCCGCCGC
rnacentral:rRNA from 1 species